UGCCUUGAAACAUCACCUUUCCAACCUUAAGGUGCUUUUCUGAGUUUCAUUAUACUAUGCUAGAACCUCUCAGGCUAAGCUUUUUCUUCACUCUCUUCACAAAAUGGUGGAUUUGCAACCUCACCUGUAUGGGAACUGCUGAGUCACGACCUGAACCUCUGAUUAAUCACCUGAGGUGAGCCAUGAGUCAGCCAGAGGAGCACAGGUGAAGGCAAUUCACCUGUGCUGCCAGAAAGGGUGGAGCCAGGCUCCACCCCUCCUAGACCUAUUUAAGAGCUGGCUACCAGAGGGGAAGGAUCUCUUCUGGAGAUCACCCCUCUUGGUGUUUUCUGGUGAGCUCAGCUGAAGGGCAUGAAUCACCUAAUUGCACAACCAACAGUUUUACUAGCAAUAAGAGACAGAAAUUCUACAAUCAAUUCUAGAAGAAGAUGAAUGAUUUGUUUGAUUACUUUAAAUAAACAUAUGGAAAGUAAAAACA